rnacentral:rRNA from 1 species
GAUGAACGCUGGCGGCGUGCCUAAUACAUGCAAGUCGAGCGAACAGAUGAGGAGCUUGCUCCUCUGACGUUAGCGGCGGACGGGUGAGUAACACGUGGAUAACCUACCUAUAAGACUGGGAUAACUUCGGGAAACCGGAGCUAAUACCGGAUAAUAUAUUGAACCGCAUGGUUCAAUAAUGAAAGACGGUUUUGCUGUCACUUAUAGAUGGAUCCGCGCCGCAUUAGCUAGUUGGUAAGGUAACGGCUUACCAAGGCAACGAUGCGUAGCCGACCUGAGAGGGUGAUCGGCCACACUGGAACUGAGACACGCUCCCGACUACUACGGGAGGCAGCAGUAGGGAAUCUUCCGCAAUGGGCGAAAGCCUGACGGAGCAACGCCGCGUGAGUGAUGAAGGUCUUCGGAUCGUAAAACUCUGUUAUUAGGGAAGAACAAAUGUGUACGUAACUAUGCACGUCUUGACGGUACCUAAUCAGAAAGCCACGGCUAACUACGUG